rnacentral:rRNA from 1 species
UACGUAGGCAGCAAGCGUUGUUCGGAGUUAUUGGGCGUAAAGGGUGUGUAGGCGGUUGUUUUAAGUUUGGUGUGAAAUCUCCCGGCUCAACCGGGAGGGUGCGCCGAAUACUGAGUGACUAGAGUGCGGGGAGAGGAAAGUGGAAUUCCUGGUGUAGCGGUGAAAUGCGUAGAUAUCAGGAGGAACACCGGUGGUGUAGACGGCUUUCUGGACCGUAACUGACGCUGAGACACGAAAGCGUGGGUAGCAAACAGG